rnacentral:tRNA from 1 species
GGGGUGUAUAGCUCUGUGGUACAGCAUUCGACUGCAUAUCGGGAGGUCCCUGGUUCAAACUCGGGUGCCCCCA